ensembl:lncRNA
ACUGUCCCUCAUUGCUGUGGCCACCUGCCAGGCCUCCAGUCUCAGGUCUGGAGGAUUUAAUCUUCUGGCCUUAGGAUUUAAAACUGCGCAUCAGCCUGUCAGUCAGUCAGUCGUGUUCAACUCUUUGUGACCCUAUGGAGUGUAGCACCCAGGUUCCUCUGUUCAUGGAAUUUUCCAGGCAAGCAUACUGGAGUGAGUUGCCAUUUCCUACUCCAGUCAUCUGUGCUGUGGCCUCAUCCAUCAGGAAUUUGAAGAAAAGUAAAACUGGCAAGUUCUCCUUUACCAUCAACAUUCUCAGUUCAUUUCAAUCUUAUUCCCAUUGCAAUUCUGAAGCACCUCAACUGCUUGGGAAAAAGGCAAUUGAACUGGGACUCUUUUAAGACCUGAGCAGAUGAGAAAUUUUUUAAGAUUUUGCACACUUACCUCUGCAUACCAAUGCAGGAGAUGAGGGUUCAAUCCCUGGGUUGGGAAGAUCACCUGGAGUAUGAAAUGGCAAGCCAUUCCAGUAUUCUUGCCUGGAGAAUUCCAAGGACAGAGGAGCCUGGAGAAUUAGUUCACGGACCACAAAAAGUUGGACAUGACUGAGCAACUG